rnacentral:rRNA from 1 species
CUACGGGCGGCUCCAGUGGGGAAUAUUGCACAAUGGGCGCAAGCCUGAUGCAGCCAUGCCGCGUGUAUGAAGAAGGCCUUCGGGUUGUAAAGUACUUUCAGCGGGGAGGAAGGGAGUAAAGUUAAUACCUUUGCUCAUUGACGUUACCCGCAGAAGAAGCACCGGCUAACUCCGUGCCAGCAGCCGCGGUAAUACGGAGGGUGCAACGUGUAAUCGGAAUUACUGGGCGUAAAGCGCACGCAGGCGGUUUGUUAAGUCAGAUGUGAAAUCCCCGGGCUCAACCUGGGAACUGCAUCUGAUACUGGCAAGCUUGAGUCUCGUAGAGGGGGGUAGAAUUCCAGGUGUAGCGGUGAAAUGCGUAGAGAUCUGGAGGAAUACCGGUGGCGAAGGCGGCCCCCUGGACGAAGACUGACGCUCAGGUGCGAAAGCGUGGGGAGCAAACAGGAUUAGAUACCCGAGUAGUC